rnacentral:rRNA from 1 species
AUUGAACGCUGGCGGCAGGCCUAACACAUGCAAGUCGAGCGAGCGGCGGACGGGUGAGUAAUGUAUGGGGACUGCCUGAUAGAGGGGGAUAACUACUGGAAACGGUGGCUAAUACCGCAUACUAUCGGAUAACCCAACUGGGAUUAGCUAGGGGGUGGGGUAAAGGCUCACCUAGGCGACGAUCUCUAGCUGGUCGGAGAGGAUGAUCAGCCACACUGGGACUGAGACACGGCCCAGACGCCUACGGAGGCAGCAGUGGGGAAUAUUGCGCAAUGGGCGCAAGCCUGAUGCAGCCAUGCCGCGUGUAUGAAGAAGGCCUUAGGGUUGUAAAGUACUUUCGGCGGAGAGGCGUUACCCACAGAAGAAGCACCGGCUAACUCCGUGCCAGCAGCCGCGGUAAUAC